rnacentral:rRNA from 1 species
UCCAGACUCCUACGGGAGGCAGCAGUGGGGGAUAUUGCACAAUGGGGGAAACCCUGAUGCAGCGACGCCGCGUGAGUGAAGAAGUAUUUCGGUAUGUAAAGCUCUCUCAGCAGGGACGAAAAUGACGGUACCUGAGUAAGAAGCCCCGGCUAACUACGUGCCAGCAGCCGCGGUAAUACGUAGGGGGCAAGCGUUAUCCGGAUUUACUGGGUGUAAAGGGAGCGUAGACGGCAGGGCAAGUCUGGAGUGAAAGCCCGGGGCCCAACCCCGGGACUGCUUUGGAAACUGCCAUGCUGGAGUGCUGGAGAGGUAAGCGGAAUUCCUAGUGUAGCGGUGAAAUGCGUAGAUAUUAGGAGGAACACCAGUGGCGAAGGCGGCUUACUGGACAGUAACUGACGUUGAGGCUCGAAAGCGUGGGGAGCAAACAGGAGUAGAUACCCCAGUA